GCCGGAGUCGGUCGGUUAUCCACUUCCUAAUGGAGAGGUCGCGGGUUCGAAUCCCGCCACCGGCG
rnacentral:tRNA from 1 species